AUUGAACGCUGGCGGCAGGCCUAACACAUGCAAGUCGAACGAGAGGCGGACGGGUGAGUAAUGUCUGGGAAACUGCCCGAGGGGGGGGGAGAACUACUGGAAACGGUAGCGAAUACCGCAUACCAUCUGAUGUGCCCAGAUGGGGUUAGCUAGUAGGUGGGGUAACGGCGCACCGAGGCGACGAUCCCUAGCUGGUCUGAGAGGAUGACCAGCCACACUGGAACUGAGACACGGUCCAGACUCCUACGGGAGGCAGCAGUGGGGAAGAUUGCACAAUGGGCGCAAGCCUGAUGCAGCCAUGCCGCGUGUAUGAAGAAGGCCUUCGGGUUGUAAAGUACUUUCAGCGAGGAGGCGUUACUCGCAGAAGAAGCACCGGCUAACUCCGUGCCAGCAGCCGCGGUAAUUC
rnacentral:rRNA from 1 species